rnacentral:other from 1 species
UAACUCCUGCCCUGUUCGCUCUGCAUGCCGGGUAUUUUCUUGAGCCUAAUACGUACCCCGGGAAUACAACGCAGUAACUGUGUGCAUGUCCGCUCUGCGGAAAGCCUGACGUUGCCGCGGCUGUUCCCACUUGAACUUCUGGUUCAAGAACGAUGGUGGCGGCGGCAGCGGUGGGAGCCUU